AAUCAACGCUGGCGGCGUGCCUAACACAUGCAAGUCGAACGAGAAAGUGGAGCAAUCCAUGAGUAAAGUGGCGACCGGGUGAGUAACACGUGACUAACCUACCUUCAAGUGGGGGAUAACCUCGGGAAACCGGGGCUAAUACCGCAUAACAUCCUUAGAGUGGAAAUUCCGGGGAUCAAAGGAGCAAUUCGCUGGAAGAGGGGGUCGCGGCUGAUUAGUUAGUUGGCGGGGUAAUGGCCCACCAAGACAGAGAUCGGUAGCCGGCCUGAGAGGGCGCACGGCCACACUGGAACUGAAACACGGUCCAGACUCCUACGGGAGGCAGCAGUGGGGAAUUUUGCGCAAUGGGGGGAACCCUGACGCAGCAACGCCGCGUGGAGGAUGAAGUCCCUUGGGACGUAAACUCCUUUCGACCGGGACGAUAAUGACGGUACCGGUGGAAGAAGCCCCGGCUAACUUCGUGCCAGCAGCCGCCGCAGUAAG
rnacentral:rRNA from 1 species